rnacentral:lncRNA from 1 species
CAGCCAAAUCCCUGCCUUACUGACCUCUCCCCUGGAGGAGCAGGAGCAGCGCUCAAGGCCGCCUUGGGAGGGCUGAGAGGCAGGCUCUGGACUGGGGACACAGGGAUAGCUGAGCCCCAGCUGGGGGUGGAAGCUGAGCCAGAGACAGUCACAGAGGAACAAGAUCAAGAUGCGCUUUAACUGAGAAGCCCCCAAGGCAGAGGCUGAGAAUCAGAAGACAUUUCAGCAGACAUCUACAAAUCUGAAGGACAAAACAUGGUUCAAGCAUCUGGGCACAGGCGAACAUACAUAUGAUAGUUGAGAAAGACACAUAUUCUGAUCAUGAAGAAAUAAACACAAGUUAAAUAUGACUAAGCAGAAAGAUGGAAGGACCAGGAACGGUGAUGCUAACUUGGAACCACGAUGCAGGCUCUAAUCUCCUCUACAAUCAUCCUCCCUUGUGAGAAAAAUACUUGAUCUGAAGGUCCCAGCAAGGAGCCGACUCACAGAAGAAUGCAGUUUUCACAUUGUGAUGAUUUAAUCUUCCUUGACCUGAGCAAUUGACAACCCCAAUUCUCCAGAACCUCACCCGCCACAAUCCCCUUAAAAACCCUGGUCCAGAACCCCUCAAGCAGACAGAUUUGAAGCUUGAGGAUUCCUUCAUCUCUUUGCCCAAUGGCAUUGUGAUUAUUAAACUCUUUUUCUGCUGGAAAUUAUGAUGUCUCAGUGUAUUGGUCUAUUGCUGCUCAGUGGGCAUAUGAAUCUGGCAGUCCUGUAACAGGGACAAAAGAUAAACUACUGGCAAAACACUCGUAAAAGUCAUAACCUAAGACAUAGGCCCACUGAAAGGCGGAUAUUCAAUCAGAGCACUAUAGAACAUAUUUCUCUGCUCAUACCAUAAAAUUUAAACCAACAUGACUCCAAUAUAAGGAGACAGACAAAAGAGCUAUAAGAAACAGACACUGUUUGAAGAUGAGUACUUAAGGAAACCUAAAGUUAAGGGAGGAGACAAAAACAAGGACACUAGAGGAAUUUGAAACCUUCAGAAACUUGAG